rnacentral:rRNA from 1 species
AAAAAAGGUAAGCUACUAAGAGCGAAUGGUGGAUGCCUUGACUGGUAAAGGCGAUGAAGGACGUACUAGACUGCGAUAAGCUACGGGGAGCUGUCAAGAAGCUUUGAUCCGUAGAUUUCCGAAUGGGGCAACCCAAUGUAUAGAGAUAUACAUUACCUAUAUAGGAGCGAACGAGGGGAAUUGAAACAUCUUAGUACCCUCAGGAAAAGAAAUCAAUAGAGAUUGCGUCAGUAGCGGCGAGCGAAAGCGCAAGAGGGCAAACCCAGUGCUUGCACUGGGGGUUGUAGGACUGCAAUGUGCAAGAGCUGAGUUUAGCAGAACAUUCUGGAAAGUAUAGCCAUAGAGGGUGAUAGUCCCGUAUGCGAAAAACAAAGCUUAGCUAGCAGUAUCCUGAGUAGGGCGGGACACGAGGAAUCCUGUCUGAAUCCGGGUCGACCACGAUCCAACCCUAAAUACUAAUACCAGAUCGAUAGUGCACAAGUACCGUGAGGGAAAGGUGAAAAGAACUGAGGUGAUCAGAGUGAAAUAGAACCUGAAACCAUUUGCUUACAAUCAUUCAGAGCACUAUGUAGCAAUACAGUGUGAUGGACUGCCUUUUGCAUAAUGAGCCUGCGAGUUGUGGUGUCUGGCAAGGUUAAGCAAACGCGAAGCCGUAGCGAAAGCGAGUCUGAAUAGGGCGCUUAGUCAGAUGCUGCAGACCCGAAACGAAGUGAUCUAUCCAUGAGCAAGUUGAAGCUAGUGUAAGAACUAGUGGAGGACUGAACCCAUAGGCGUUGAAAAGCCCCGGGAUGACUUGUGGAUAGGGGUGAAAGGCCAAUCAAACUUCGUGAUAGCUGGUUCUCUCCGAAAUAUAUUUAGGUAUAGCGUUGUGUCGUAAUAUAAGGGGGUAGAGCACUGAAUGGGCUAGGGCAUACACCAAUGUACCAAACCCUAUCAAACUCCGAAUACCUUAUAUGUAAUCACAGCAGUCAGGCGGCGAGUGAUAAAAUCCGUCGUCAAGAGGGAAACAACCCAGACUACCAGCUAAGGUCCCUAAAUCUUACUUAAGUGGAAAACGAUGUGAAGUUACUUAAACAACCAGGAGGUUGGCUUAGAAGCAGCCAUCCUUUA